UUUAAACACCUCAACUCCCUAUAACUCUUCUCAAAACUGACUUUGAGCUUUGGAGAGAUCGAGCCCAGAAAUCAUCUCCCGGCCUAUGUAUAGGAACUUAGUGACGAAACAGCAAACCCGCGGGAGAGAAAAAGAAACCAUGCGCACUACGAAUCAGACCAAGCCGUUCUGAUCGGCCACGGCAUAAAGUUUCUAGGGUAGUCGGGUUGGUUGUAUCUGGAUCCCCGCUCCAUUCUCCGUCUUUGGUGGGCUUCCUUCGCGGCAUCUCAAGAUGCCCGCGCUUGCUUUGGUCUGCUGUUGUGAUCUUGCCUUACUCCAUUUCUAGACCAGUUAUUGUUCUUGUUCUGACGGGGAAGAUCACUGGGGUUCUGAUUUGUUGUUGAUUUUAAGAUCUUUGUAUGGCAGAAUGAUUGUGGUAUGGGGUUGUGUUUGAUGUCAGCCAUACCUCGGUGGAGGUCCUCUCUUGGACCAUCUGUUCUUGAUGAUGCAGGGUUGGAUUCCAGUUGACGGCGAGUGCUUACAAACCCAAUCCUGAAGAGAAGAUAUAUGAAAUGCUUAACUAUGAUUAAUCUUGCUUUUU